GUUUAUAUAAUUUAUAAAGAAUAUUGCAUUGAAGAUGCUAAGGAGGUGAGAAUACACCUGUAAACA
rnacentral:tRNA from 1 species